AGUCAGAACUAGUCAAUAAGAAGCCUAAACUAUUGGUCAGCAGUUUUAUAGUUAAUAUAGCAUCUGUGUGCUUAUUUGGGGCUGAGAAGGGUGGCGAGACCUGUUGGGUGGGACAAGAAGAAUUUCUCAAACAAGCAAGUAGGUCUGCUGACAUCAGUCUGCAAUCCCAGCACACAAUAGGCUAAGGCUGGAGGACCACAAGUUCAAAGUGCAUCUGGAUCUGGGCCACAGAAAAAGUUCAGUUUACUAAGACCCUCUCUCAAAGUAGAAAGAGGCUGGAUAUAUAGCUCAGUGGGAAAACAACUGGCAUCAUGUGGAAUGCCUUGGGUAGUCCCUAGAACCAUUGUGCAUUGUGUGUGUGUGUGUGUGUGUGUGUGUGUGUGUGUGUGUGUGUGUGUGUGUGUGUUGGGUGGUGUUGAGGGUGGAGAUGACAUAGGAAUGGGCAGUCAUUGGAAGAAGGAGAAAGAGAGAAAGUCUUAUGGAAUACUGGCAGGAAUGCAAGGUCUGACUAACAAAAUGAGUAGUGUCCUUCAGAGGGACACAAGGCAAAUCAAAAAGGGAUGGUGGGCGAAAAGAUGGCUUAGCCCUUAAAGGAUAAGGCUUACAAAAGGGGCAGGAAGGAUGGUGCCAUUGAUAUUUAGAGAGGGGAAUGUUUUAAGGAAGUGGAUGGAUGAUUGUAUAUAUUAGCAUGAUAGUCUAUCAUGUUGCAAAGCUCUUGUUAAUAAUCCUAAUGAAAAAUCUGACCCUUUGUUCUUAAUGAUAAGCAUGAUGGUACUCCAGCAUGUGUUUUGUGUUUAUCAUGUAAGUCUCGUGACUUACUAUGAGUUUUGCUUAAUUGUAUGUAGCUAUCAUUAAGGAUCUCAUGUAUAUUUUGCACAUGUUCUUAACUCAGCUUCCCUUUGAUUUCCUGGCUCAGUGAUAACAUUCCUCUUGUAUUUUCUAUAUACUGCAUGUAUGUAUCUUUUAAUAUUUUUCCUCCUUCUGCAUAGCUCUCUUCUUACAGUGGAAGAUAAAGAAAAAAAAGUGGUUAGUAUUAUAGCUGGAUGUAAAGAAAUAUGGUAUAAAAAAUCCAAACCAAAAACUUAGAUUUAGUAAGGAGCAAACCAGUAAUUUGGAUGACAUUGAUUUAAGGCUUGGUAUGGUGAGUGAUCACACAUAUGUAUGCAUGCAAACCCACAAAAGAAGAUUCACAUGUAAUUAAUUGAUAUAUGAAUGGUAAACAAAGCAUGGAACAUAAUUCAGUGAAUUAUUUAUUCAAGCUUUAAAAGGAAGAAAAUUCUGACAUUAUGCCCGAUAUGGAUGAUUCUUGAUGAAGAAAUGAAUAUGCCUAACAAUACAAAUACUAUAUAAUUUUCAAAAUGUGAAAUACUUGCAGAAUUUUCAAAAAUCACUCUGAUAGAAGAAUUGAUAGACAUGAGAGUAGGGAAUUGCUACAUAAAUGACUCAUACUAUUUUCAGUUUCACAGCAUAAAAAGUAUUCUGAAAAUAGAUUUUGGUGAUAGAAGCACAUUAAAAUGACUUAAUUCUACUUGGUUAUACUUAUAAAAAUGGUGACGAUAGUAAAUUCUGUGUUAUAUGUAUUUUGUCAUCAUAAGCAUCAACGAGAGUGAGAUAAGUAGGAACAGUGAUUAACACCCUACUUAAGAGAUAGUCAAUAUGAAAGGAAAUUGAAUGGUAACUGCAAGUGGGUAAUAUGAUUAAGCAAAGGGUUUUUCUUGGGAACAAGUAGAUAAGAUUAUAUUUAAAAGAAAAAAAGGAAGCACUUGACAAUUACAAGUACAACAAAUUUCUCACAGCUAGUAAGUACUUUUUGAGUAGCUAUGUUUGCAAGGUUGUUUUCCUAUAUCUUCACAUUUAACAAUGGCAUCUGUUUCCUUCAGUAAUAAUUGUAUUCAUGAGUUGAUAAGAUUUUGAGUUUUGCUGGGCAGUGGAGGCACAUGCCUUUAAUCUUAGCAUUCACUAGGCAGAAGCAGGUGUGAGUUCAAAGCCAGCCUAGCUUACAGAGUAAAUUCCAGGACAGCCCAGGUUAUACACAGAAACCCUGUCUCAAACAACAAACAGAAUUUAAGCUCAGACAGGCAAGAAACUUACUGGGAAUAUAGUUCUCCAUUGGAAUGCAGAGGAUGGCAGUGACUUUAGGUCUGCUCACCAUUUUCAAAUCCUUUGAAUUCAUUGUUUAUUGGAAAUUAGAAUAACAGUCCUUGUUAAGCAAUGUCCUUUACUUUUUGAAAGGCAUUGGAGAUAGGAGGGUGGAGAUGAGACACCCAAGAAAUUAUUUACAUUAUAAAUUGGCCUAUGAAUUUGUUUAGUUUCUCAAUUAUGUAUUAUAAGCAUUUAAAAUGCUAACAUUGUUCUUUUAUAUAUUUUGACCAAUACCAAUUUUUUUUGUGUGGCAGAAUUUAAUGAUAGUGCUAUUCUAGCUCUCCCACAGUGAGUAAUAAUAGGUUUCUGUGUAUUAUACUAACUGCAUUCACACUGAUCCAGAGUCUGUGGCUUUAGCAAAGGUAAGCAUAUCCCACAUUGUAGUGUGAGAUAGUUGACAUUCAUCUGCUUUGGUAGUUGACUAAAUCUCUUUAGACGGUUUUAAAUGGACAUGCUUAAUUGCAUCAAUUUGACUGUGACAUUAGACUACAUUCUCUUUUAGAUAUGUAACUGAAAGCUUUGAAAGAGGGUAGGUUAAGUUAGUCUGUUUGAAGGCUUGGUCUAGUUUCUUUGAAUACUUUUUAGAAAUGUAAUCUCUCUUAAAACUUGUUUUAUGUUAAAAACUGUAGACAGAUUUCAUCCUGUGAUGAAUCUAAAUGCUAAUUCCUGUACAUAACUAUUUGUUUACCAUGCUUCAUUGAAUGGUUUGAAAUUGCAGUAUAGUGUAUUUUCUUUUUUAAUGUAGAAUUUCAAAAUCUGAACCCUUUAGUAAGUCUGCUUCUCCUCUCCCCCUUCCACCCUCUCCAUCCCCUUCUUUCCUUUCUUUCUCUCUUUUCACAUGGAGACUCAAAAUGACAAAAAGUAAUGAAUACUUUUUGGUAAGGAGACUUGAUCAUCAGCAAUAUCCUUUAUCGCAAGGGACCAAAGUGAGAUUCACUUACUUCCUUCAGGCAGUUAUCAAUAAUUGUUUAGUUCUUUCUGUGAGACAUGCAUUAUUCUAGACAUUGGGAGUAGAUAGUCAAUAAAGUAGAUAUUCUGCCCUCAUGGGAUCAACAAUUUCUGGGAGAGAUUGAACACAUUUGAAUGUCCAUGUAUGCAUAGAUGCAUUUACAAUCAGACAACUACUGGUACAGUUUUGUGAUAAAACUAUGGCAGAGUAGCCAGAUAGCCUUUGAUCAGGGAAGGCAAGGGCUGCUUAAAUAACAUACUUAUUAUUUAUUAAGUAAUAUAGGUGUGUGUGUUGCACAUGCACAUGGAAGCUUGAAGUUGAUGGUGGGAAUCUUUCUCACUUGCUAUUCCAUCUUAUUCUUUGAGGCAUGGUCUCUGAAUCAAACAUGAAUCUAACCAAUGCUAGCCCACUUGCUCUGGGGAUUUCCAGUCUUGGCCUUCUGAGUGUGAAAUUACAGGGUUUCAUGUAGUCCAGGCCUGGAUCAAACUGGCUCAGAAUGAUUUAUGAAGAUUUGAAGUUUCAGCUACCAAAGGAGUUCAGUAAAAUACAGGAGACGGUAGGAUAAAAUGGAUAACGAUGCAUUGCUCUGAGGACUGAAAGACAGGCAGUCUUUGGAGCAAAGGGAGCUCCUAGUCACGAGAAGAAAAGGUAUUUGCAAGGUGUCUUCAAGGAACUCAGAUAGCAAACGGAAAAGUGAGUUUUGUCCCUCCAGUAACUCUGCCUUGUGUUAGAGUUGUGUUGUUUUAAAAAUACAUUUCAAAAGAAACUAAUUUUGCAAAGCUACUUGAGAACCACAACUGCCUACUCAGGUAGAGUAGUAAGUAAUAGGACUGGGCUGUUUCACACUGUUUUUAUUUGAUUUUCUUCCUUGAAACUGGUCUCCUUGAAAAUUGGGGCAGUAUUUGAUGUGCUGGAUUGCUUAGAUCGGGUCUUUUACUAUUGAAAAAUCAAAAGCCAGAGAGAAUCUUCUCCUGUUUUCUUGGCUGAGAGUUUGUGUGGGUGUGUGCAGUGCAGCUGUGCUGUGGGUUUCUUGGCAGUCAGAUGGGGCAGUUCUCCAUGUCGUCAUCUCAGAAGGAAGAGAAGCCUUCAUGUAAAAAGCCUACUUUGACUGGAUUAGAUUCAGCAGGAGGCAUCCAGGCCUGAGCUCCUGGCUGGUAGCUUCGCUUGUUUGGCUCCAUGGAUCCAGCAGCCUCAGGCCCAUAUACAGACGUUGUGACAGAGCUCUAUUAAAAAGAAAACAGCUUUGUCUCAGUAUAAAAUUGCCACUUGGCACAUACAGUUUUAAAAUAAAGUUUUUAUUAGUUAUUGUGAUUUGUUCAAGUUUCUCUCUUUAAAGAUCACAUAUUGAAAAAGGCAGACUGUAAAAACAUUGCAUGUAAAUGUGAAUUCAGAAUUUUCUAUAAUUUAUGAGAAUGCUCUUUUCCUAAAUCCUUUUCUGCACAGAUGGAUUCACAGUACUGUGUUCAGUGCUUCCUUGUUGUCUUCAGCCCCAUUUGCCCUCUUGUGUAGUCUGUAAACACUUCGUUUUCCCAAAUCCUCAGAUUAAACGCAGACAGUAUGCAACGCUCCAUUUUUCAAGCACACUCACAGCCUUCCCUUGGAUAAACUCAUUGUAGCCCAUUACACACUGCAGGCAGACAAAAGCCUCUUGCUUGAGUCUCAUUGCUUUCUUCUUUGUAUCUUUGCUCUUAGUUGUUACUUUCAAAGUAGUGCAGAGUAAGAUUCUGUGGUCAAAUCCAAUCUUUUCUAGUGUGGUCCCCUCUGAUUUUCUCCUGUUUCUCAAAUAACACCACCACCACCAC